rnacentral:rRNA from 1 species
UACAGGGGUCUCAAGCGUUGUUCGGAUUCAUUGGGCGUAAAGGGUGCGUAGGCGGCGCGGUAAGUCGGGUGUGAAAUCUCGGAGCUUAACUCCGAAACUGCAUUCGAUACUGCCGUGCUGGAGGACUGGAGAGGAGACUGGAAUUUACGGUGUAGCGGUGAAAUGCGUAGAUAUCGUAAGGAAGACCAGUGGCGAAGGCGGGUCUCUGGACAGUUACUGACACUGAGGCACGAAGGCCAGGGGAGCAAACGGG